rnacentral:lncRNA from 1 species
CUUGAAAGAGACUGAGCGAGGGCCUUCUUUUCUCCAGUUUGUGCAUGAUUGCCUAUCUCAGCUUUCAAAAGAGUUUGAGGAUUACUUCCCAACCAUAAAAGACCCCCAAACUCAGAAGGAAGGGAUUCACCACCCAUUUGUGAAUAAGCCAGGUGAAUUGACUUUGUCUGUGCUAGAAGAGGAUUCACUGCUUGAGAUCACAAAUGAUGAUGGCCUUCAAAGUAUGUUUGGAGACAACUCCGGAUCACCAUUUAUUCUGGUUAAAAGUCAAGGGAGAAUAUCCUGAGAUGGCCACAAAAACCCUAAAUAGCCUGCUCCCAUUUCCAUCGUCCUGUCUUUGUUAGAUAGAAUUUUCUGCAGUGACAGCAAACAGAGUGAGAUUAUGGAGUAGACUGGACAUAAGCAACACACUUUGGGUGUCACUGCCUCUCAUCACUCCCAGAUGGGACUAUCUAACUGGAGGAAACCAAGCUCAGGGCUCUCACUGAUUCUGCACUAUGAUCCCUCAUCAGUUUUCCUAAAAUGAAUGAAGAAAAUAAAGCAUCCUAAGUUCUGUGAGAAUCAUUUUUCUAGAACUGCCUUCCCUGUUCUGUGGAAUACCUUUCAACUUACGCUACUGGAAGAUGGCUCUUCUUUCCAAAAAGUCUUCUAACUCUUGUCACACACACAUGUACAAAAAAUAUUCUGUGGAGAUUUCACUUACCGGCAGAGCCUGAAUCUCAUCUUCAGUAGACUGAAAAUGCUGAAUUCUUUGUCUCCCUUCAGAAUCUUCAAAUGGUUUAGAAUUUUACCCUAUCAAACUAAACAUGAAUAAUCUUAAAGUUAUGGUGAAAAUGAUGCCAAUAAAAAGAGGAUGAUACAAAGUGGGUUCACAGAACAGAUUGUUUGAC